rnacentral:lncRNA from 1 species
UUAUUUAGGCAGGGCCAAAAAACACCAGAACCGAAGAAUCGAACCAUAAUCGAAACAAAAUACCUGAAUCGGAAGUCGGGCCAAAACCCUAAAAUAUCCAAAUGAUAUCACAUAUUUCUAUCCAAACAACCGAACCAAACCGAAACCAAAUCGAGAACAUAACAUGUACCUGAAUAUAUAAAAAUAUUAGUAACACAUAUCUAUAACAUAACAAAAAAUAUAUAUAUAAUUAUUUUAUAAAAGUUUAUAAUUUAAAAGUUUAUAAAAGUAUCUGAAAAUAUUUGAAAGAAAUUAAAUUAAAUUAAAGUAUCCAAACUACCUAAAAUAUCAGGAUAUUUUUAUCUGAAAUAUCAAACAUAACCCAAAAUAUCAUAUAUUUUUAUCUGAAUCAUAAUAGUUAUUCGAUAUUUUAAUCCAAAACACCAAAUAUUUAACCCAAAUUAUCCAAACUAUCCGCUAUCCGAAGUAACCGAACCGGAACCUGAAUCAAAUAGAAAUGAUUUUUAGGCAUUUUCUGGUUUCUAGUUUUACUAUCC